AGGGUGACCAGGUGUCCUGGUUUGCCUGGGACAGAGGGGCUUUCUAGGACACGGGGCUUUCUAGGACA
rnacentral:miRNA from 1 species